UUGAACUCAGGUCCUCCUGACUCCAGGGCCGGUGCUCUAUCCACUGCGCCACCUAGCUGUCCCCUAUUGAUAUGAUUUUGAUGACCUAAAACAUCUUUCCACCCAGUCCUUUCUCAUGAACAUCAGUGUAUAUCCUUUAUUUUUUUUUCCUGCCUGCCCUUAAAAGAAAUCUUAGUGCUGUAGACCUGAAAUCCAAACCUAGUUUUUCUAGUUAUUUAUUACAUCAUAUUCCCCCUUGAGUAUGAGCUAUGUCAGGCUUAUGAGCAUAACUGUGGACCCUUGGCAUAGCCUCCUUUUUAUUUUAUUUUACACUGGGGAGCCAGUAAAAUCUGAACCAUGCACACACGCACACACUAAGUUAGCAAAUGUAUUUUUAGGAAUAAUACUAUAUAACAUUGCUGUGCUUUAGUAAUAGGACAGACUGUGUACUCAAAAGACCUGAAAGAGACCUAAAAAUCACAACAGUGCAAGCUCUUCCUUUUCAAGAGAUCUCUCUCGUCCCCCCAGAUGCUGCUAAGGGUAAGGAUGCAGACUGUUGAACACUAAAUCCCCCACCUUGGGAUGAAGUUAACGUAGUUUCACAGUCCAGCCCUGGCAGUGUACCCAACAUUAAAGAGAAAAGAAUAAGAAAGUAACAGAUGGGGACAUUUUUUUAAAAAAUACUAACGAUGUUAAGAGGUAAAAAACUCAUUAAAAACUUAUAAUAAUAUAUAAAUAAUUUGAAAGAGAACAUCCUAAAAUUAUAAAAGCAAAUGAAAUAGUGCCUGAUAAAAAAAAAAUAACUCUCAGAGGCUUAUAUAGAACCCAAAGACAGGCUGUUCAACAGCAAAAGAUUCCAGAAUGGUUCGAGAAAGGGAGGAAGUCCAUAAGAGAAGAUAUUAGAGAUGAUUCUGUAGCAGAAUUUGUAUCUCUCAACAUAAAAUGUCAUUAUUUAUGGAAAGCUUCUCCAAAAACGUGAGACAUGAACAGAUUUGGCUCACAAAAAUACUAAAUGGGGAAAAAAACUGAUCGAUAGAAAAAAAGCAUGAAGUGCAAAAAAAAAAAAAGUGAAAAUAAUCCAAUCUCUAUACAAACUAAAACCGCUGACCUUGAACAAUUUAAAGAUCAAAGACUCUCAGAAUAACAUGAAAAAUCACAAAACCUGAUCACCAUAGUGUAGGAAAUAAAGUAAAAAAGCUGCCCAGAAAUUCUUAACACUGAAAAUAAAACAUCUAUGAAAAGAACUCAUAGGUCACUUCAAGAGAACAGAAUCCAUGUUUUUGAGCUCAGGGUGUAUAGUGUUUAAAAUGAGUAGUGCAAAUGCCAACAACAAAUGCUACAUAUAACCAGGAAAAAGAACUUUAGGCGAAGGACUUAUUCAUACCCAUUACAUACCAUGGAAGACAGUGCCAUAGUUUUUUUCUGAAAAGAAUCUCAAGCAGCAAUCAAAAAUGUUAUGCCCUACAAACCUGAUAAUAACCACCAACAAAAAAAAUAGACAUUCAACAAAAGAGAGACAUUUGAGGUAUUCCUGCCCCACUUCCAAAAUAUGACAAAACCUGGUAUAGAAUAUUGAUUACUAAAAUGAAUUAACCCACCUUUAGAAUUUAUUUCAUUAAAAAGAGAAAGACUGACCUGUAGGGUAAAUCAGUGACAGCAACACAGAGGGACCAUCAAAAGAUUUAGAGGGCCUACAAGGAGAUAAAGAUAUAAGCAGAAAUAUAAAGAAACAGAAGUGGCAGUGGAAGAGCGGAACUGAAACUCUGCGGACUAAACCACACUACAGAUGAGAAGUUGCAUCCAAGACAGGUUAAGUGCCUUGCCCAGUGUUCUUCGAGCCAGUUGGUAGAAGAGCAAGUAUUCGGAUUGAGGUUUCCUGCCUGCCAUUUCCGAUGACUUCUGCUACCACGAGUUGCCUAGCAUCAAAGGUCACAGAAACAGCAGAUGGUGACAAAAUGACACACCUGAAUGUUGGCAUACAUUUGCCACAUAGAAAGACAGCCUAUUUAUAAAGAUCUCCUGGGAAAAGACAAUGAGGAAGAAGUAGAAUAAUUAAGACAGUGAGAUCCUUAACAAUGUCCCUGUAGGCAGAUCAUCAUUGGUCCUGUGCGGUAGCCUGCUUCUCCAUGCCAUGGCUCUCUCCAUGACCUUUUCAGCCACCCGGGAUCUGAAUCCUGUGCAGCUCAUGGAUAUCCACAAUGCGCAACCAUUCAGCUUCAGAGAGAACGUUGGAGUUGAAAAGGGACCAAUUUAUUUGCGAAGUAUCUUGAGAUCACUUAAUGUACUUCCCAGUUUUCUACAGACAUUGUACUCUUCCUCCUUUUCACCUCUAGGCCUAGAUCUUUGUGAACAUUCAGGGCUCAUCUAAGACAUAUAUAUGUAUGUAUGUAUGUAUAGGCAUUAACUCACUGCUCUUACUCUACAACUACUGUAAUCUGGGUAAUACGUACUUUCCUUACUUUAUUUGUACUUCUCAUUGAUAGGGGCACUCUCUCCGCUUGAUAACCACUCACAAUCCGUUUGUGCCUUGACAUCCUCUCGGGUUGUCCGUGCCCUGCCAGAUAACUGCUACAGGGGUUUCACCCAGUCUGCUUGGGGCCUUUCUCUCAAUCUUUUGACACUAGAAUAUGUGGGCUGUCCAUUACCAUCCCUGCUUUAUACACUUGGCAUGUUCUGUUUUCUGUGGGUAUGCUAAUCUUUUAAUGUUCUGUGAUCACCUAGUAGACAAUGUAGUAUUCUGAGGCUUGGUUUUAUUUCUAUUUCUUCAUAUGGUGCAUCAGAUACAGAGAGCUGAGAGUUCAAAUGUGGUACCUCCCCUGCCAUUGAUAGUACAAACAAGGUCCUGUAGUAAUACAAGUCUGUUUCAUUUCACAUUUUUGUCAUACCUCCAUCACUCUCAUAUACAUGUUGUUGGGCCAGUCCAGCCUCCUCGGUUCUUAUCUGCAUGAAAUGAUCCUCUGCAUACUUUUCUGUCUUUCUGUGUACUUUCUCUCUUCAGAGAAAUUGUGUGUGUGGACACAAAAGGCACUUCCCAGCAGAACACCUGAAUGUCCCCAUAGAAAACCUGUUGCCUGAGGGCGACUAGAGAUUGUGAUACCCAAAACAACAAGAAAGAAAGAAAGGUCUUUGAGCACUUUUUAAAAUGACAGAAACUACUGAGGGAGAGGCAAUUAGCACAGAUCCAAAAGUUAAAUCCUAACGUCUUAGAAGUAAAAAGCAAGCAAUAAGCAGUAGGUAUUUGUAGUUUGAUAGAUAUUUUUUUUCUUUUCUGCUUUAUAU